AUUGCCUCAGUAACGGCGAGUGAAGCGGCAUAAGCUCAAAUUUGAAAUCUGGCUCUUUCAGGGUCCGAGUUGUAAUUUGUAGAAGAUACUUCGGGUGUGGUACCGGUCUAAGUUCCUUGGAACAGGACGUCAUAGAGGGUGAGAAUCCCGUAUGUGACCGGUGGCCUACGCCCAUGUGAAGUUCUUUCGACGAGUCGAGUUGUUUGGGAAUGCAGCUCAAAAUGGGUGGUAAAUUUCAUCUAAAGCUAAAUAUUGGCCAGAGACCGAUAGCGCACAAGUAGAGUGAUCGAAAGAUGAAAAGCACUUUGGAAAGAGAGUUAAACAGUACGUGAAAUUGUUGAAAGGGAAGCGCUUGCAAUCAGACUUGCGCCUAGUUGAUCAUCUGGGCUUCUGUCCAGUGCACUCGAUUAGGCUCAGGCCAGCAUCGGUUUGAGUGGUUGGAUAAAGGCUUAGGGAACGUGGCCUCUCUCGGGAGGUGUUAUAGCCCUAGGUGCAAUGCAGCCUACUUGGACCGAGGACCGCGCUUCGGCUAGGAUGCUGGCGUAAUGGUUGUAAGCGACCCGUCUUGAAACACGGACCAAGGAGUCUAACAUUUAUGCGAGUAUUUGGGUGUUAAACCCAUAUGCGUAAUGAAAGUGAACGGAGGUAAGAACUCUUAAGAGUGCAUUAUCGACCGAUCCUGAUGUCUUCGGAUGGAUUUGAGUAAGAGCAUAACUGUUGGGACCCGAAAGAUGGUGAUCUAUACGUGAAUAGGGUGAAGCCAGAGGAAACUCUGGUGGAGGCUCGCAGCGGUUCUGACGUGCAAAUCGAUCGUCAAAUUUGCGUAUAGGGGCGAAAGACUAAUCGAACCAUUGAAAGGACGGCUUCUAGGUGGUUAAGAGGUUUAACCUAACCUAGUCCUACCUUACGUAGGGCAACAUUGUCAAAUUGUCGGGGACCACCUGCUGAAUGUCAAGCUACCGCAGCCUCUUCGAAAGAGGGGUGCGCACCGGGGUGUAACAGCUCCGGGGAUGGUAAGAAUGCUUGAAUAGGGUGCAUCCGCAGCGAAUUCCUAAGGCCCUCCCAGGGGCUACGGAGGUCGUUCACAGACUAGACGGCAGUGGGCUUGGGCAUGCUGCAGAGUAUGCCUAGGCUUAAGAUAUAGUCGAACCCCGCAGAGAUGCGCG
rnacentral:rRNA from 1 species